rnacentral:rRNA from 1 species
GGGUUAGUAACGCGUGGGAACGUGCCCUUCACUGCGGAAUAGCCACUGGAAACGGUGAGUAAUACCGCAUACGCCCUUCGGGGGAAAGAUUUAUCGGUGAAGGAUCGGCCCGCGUUAGAUUAGAUAGUUGGUGGGGUAACGGCCUACCAAGUCUACGAUCUAUAGCUGGUUUUAGAGGAUGAUCAGCAACACUGGGACUGAGACACGGCCCAGACUCCUACGGGAGGCAGCAGUGGGGAAUCUUGGACAAUGGGCGCAAGCCUGAUCCAGCCAUGCCGCGUGAGUGAUGAAGGCCUUAGGGUCGUAAAGCUCUUUCGCCAGAGAUGAUAAUGACAGUAUCUGGUAAAGAAACCCCGGCUAACUCCGUGCCAGCAGCCGCGGUAAUACGGAGGGGGUUAGCGUUGUUCGGAAUUACUGGGCGUAAAGCGCACGUAGGCGGAUCAGAAAGUUGGGGGUGAAAUCCCGGGGCUCAACCCCGGAACUGCCUCCAAAACUCCUGGUCUUGAGUUCGAGAGAGGUGAGUGGAAUUCCGAGUGUAGAGGUGAAAUUCGUAGAUAUUCGGAGGAACACCAGUGGCGAAGGCGGCUCACUGGCUCGAUACUGACGCUGAGGUGCGAAAGUGUGGGGGAGCAAACAGGAUUAGAUACCCUGGUAGUCC